AGAGGGGUGCGAGCGUUAAUCGGAAUGACUGGGCGUAAAGGGCGAGUAGGUGGGAUGUUCAAGUCAGAUGUGAAAGUCCCGGGCUUAACCCGGGAAGGUCAUUUAAGACUGAGUAUCUAGAGUACAGGAGAGGGAAGAGGAAUUUCCGGUGUAGCGGUGAAAUGCGUAGAUAUCGGAAGGAACAUCGGUGGCGAAGGCGUCUUCCUGGCCUGAUACUGACACUGAGUCGCGAAAGCGUGGGGAGCAAACAGGAUUAGAUACCCUGGUAGUCCACGCUGUAAACGUUGAGUACUAGCUGUUGGAGCGUAAGCUCAAGUGGCGCAGCAAACGCAUUAAGUACUCCGCCUGGGGACUACGGCCGCAAGGCUA
rnacentral:rRNA from 1 species